ACCUGUGGGCUGUUAGGAUGAGGGAACCUGGAAACGGCCUUUCGCUGUCAGAUUUCAGACAUUCGUGUUAACCCAAGGUUUCCCCGAAGGCUGCAGAACAAAUUCCUUCUGUGCAGAAAAGUGCUCGGGCUGCAAAGGAAAGUGCUAAUCCAGAAGUUCAAAGCUUGUGUGAGGAAAUAUAAUGCUUCCUCCAGAGACUUUUCAGGGGAGAGUGGUUGACCACAAGAAAAUAAAGGCUCCUGCAGCUGAUCAUAAGCCUGUGCGAGAGGGCUGUUGAGGAGGCACCUAGGAAUGACUGCCAUUCCAGUUUAUGACUCAGCAGGGAGGGAGCAGCCCAGGCCAGCUUUUGGGAGAUGCCUGGGCUGUCUGCCGCCUCUCAGACCACGGGAAUCCUGCAGGGAAACAAAGGGGAGACAGAGGAGUCCGGGGACUGUGGGAAUUCAAGGCACUGUGGAUCCUGAUGAUGGCUGGAUUGACACAAGUGCCGUGUAGGCGUGAUGGUGCCCGCUGGGAGCAGAGACCUGAGCUCUAGUCCAACAGUGCUGUGUCAUGUAAAGAAUAGGAUGAACCCUACCUACAUGCUGGAUAUGUGUUUUCUAACCUGCUAAAACCUUCUGUUUGUAGAAGUUUCCCAACAAACUUUGACAUGUCUACAUGGGACAGAUGAAUCCAGCCCUUGGCUGUUUGAGAAGUAUGGUAAUACUGUUUAGGAAUGUUUUGAGUUCACUUUUUUUGGCCUCAAAAAGGUGGUUGUGUUGAAAUGGAACAUUUUCUUAGGAAUGUAAAGGUCCCGGUGAAGCUUUCUUCAUGGAAGGUUUUUCCAGCUGAAUUUCACAGCACGGUGGAAGUACAAGAUUUCUCCCCAAGAACAGACAUUUCCUGCCUGUCAGGGAUCUCAGUCAUUUUCUGUGUAAGUCAUCCCUGCUCAGGCUCUUCCUCUGCCUAAUUCAGUGAAUUACUUGCAAUUGAAUCUCUUGUGACUCGGGUGAAAGUAGAACCCAUGUUCACUGUUCAAUGGGAUGGUCUCUGAGGAUGGUUCACAGCACAGCCUCAUCAUUGCCAACAUGAGUCACGUUGCCCUUCCUAAUGCCACAGAGACAGAAGAGUGCCAGCAGCCAGGAAUCAGGAAGAAGGAAGUACAGAAUGGUGGCAAAAGUUUUGUCUUCUCGAGGCCUGUAUCCUCAAGGAGAACAAGGAGCAGGGUUUAUCUCUUUACCUGGUCACUGCAGAGCUACCAGAGUUGCAGGGCAUGUGUUUGUGUGUGCAUGUGUGUGUCUGCAGUGCAGACAGUUGUUACGUGCUGUCCUAAUUUCAACUUAAAUUUCCAGGCGGAUGGGUCUUUACAUGUCUCAUAAGUCUUUCAGAUGAAGAAGACAUCUUAAAAAUAAGGCUCCAGGGAACAGAAUGUGUUUUCUGAGAGACCUCAAAUAUUUUGGUGCUAAGGUGACGGGUGUCCUGUGCAUGUUCGGGGGAUCUUCUCCAGUACCACAGUGGAAGACUCACCAGGCAGCAUUUGCCUCACUUCCCAAAUUACUGCCCUUCUCAAGUAGCAGAGCUGUUGCCCUGAAGCACAUGGACUAGGGAGAAAGAGGCUUCCCUUACAUCCUGUGUUUUUCCAGGACUUCUUGCUCCAGUCUGUGCUCCCUGGGGUCAAAUCUUCAUUGGCAUUACAACACCUAGCAGUUAGGUACUGUUUCAUGAUGUAACCAAAUCCCUGUUGGAGCAGAAGCUUUAACCCCCCCGCUUCGGGGAGUGUGGGAGUAUUGGAGGAAUCUUCAAAUUUCUGCUCCGUUGUAGGAAUUAUGUACUAUGAGGCCAUAGAGGCCACUGGUUGGCAUCCUCCAUGGAGAGAUGAAUUCAUGAUCCCACCAUUGUUUUUCUCUUGAGACUGGGUGCUUACACCUCUCAUACCUCCUUCUAGCAGCUGGCCAGGUUUUAGUUUAUGCACACUGUUUUGUGUUGAAAGAAAUGGACCAUAUGACUGAGAAAGGCAUCCUUGACUAUUUUAAAUGCCAUAUUACUUCAGUCACAACCAGCCCUCUGAGCAGCUCCCAGUUUGUGGACAGCACAGGGUUCAAGCAGUCAAAUGAAAUGCAAUAGUCCACCAUGUGAGAAGCCGAGAAGGAGCUCUGAGGGUAUUAAUGAUGUCUCAGUGGUGGAUUUAGGCACCUAAAAACCAGCAGGGCCAUUGGCCAUAGGAGCUAAAACUCAAGCAUUCUUCAGGGCUGCAUUCAUCAGGACUGUGACCAGCCAUCCUGGCUUUGGAGCUGGAUCUUGGGGGUCAGCUCUUCUGGUCAGAGCCACACACAGUGUCAAAAGUAUUAUUUUUUCCCCAGUUAGGCAAGCUGCCCAGACUGCGCCCUCAUUUAUCCCGUAAUAACCUUGCAACAUUAGCAAGUGUCUCCAUGGGGAUCUGAGGACAUUUAGCACCUCUCAGAGGGGACUGAGACUUUGCCAGGCCUGGCCCUAAAGCUUUAUUUUUCUACCAGAAACCCUUUUUGCAAACGGUUUGCGGAAGCUGUCAGUAACCCUGAUGGGCUGAAGGUUGUUAGCGAUUUGGUUUAACAGCUCCUUGUGGUUAUUUUUUUCCUCUGCCCCUUAAUUGAAGUGGAAAACAGAAAUUCCUGUCAGCAUGUGUGCAUCUGCUUCUGAAAUCUGCCAACAACAUCACAUGGCAUUCAUCAUGUCUUGCAGACCGGCGGAUCCCUGAAGCCUUUCCCAGAAGCUCUUUUUGGUGAAGGAUGGUACAGGCACUUCUGCAAGUCCCCCUCCUUACAAAGAUCUACAGGACGCUGUGGUAGCAAUUAGGAAAGAAAUUGUGGGAAGAAAGAUCUUCUGAGGUCACAGCAGGAUUUAUAAGGGUAUUUUUUUCCCAGGCUCAAAAUAGAUAAUUUCUAUAAACUCUGCAAAACAACUAAUGUGAGGUCUUGUGACUAUUGGAUAGCUCUCAGGAGAUGUCUGUCUUUGCCAUGAACCUGCUGAAUGGUCUUCAGUGACUCAUUUUGCAUCCCUGGGCCUCCGUUUCACCAUCUAUAAAUUAAGGGUAAUGGUAACGAUUUCCUUUCCAGUAUUUUGAGAAGCAUUUGCAAUACAAUUCAAUACACAAGACCAUUGGCAACUGCUGUGAUCCUCUCCCCUCUCCAAAUGCAUAACUGCGUGCUUUUCAUUUAAAGUGCCUGCACCAAAGUGUGGAAAACAAUAUGGUCUGUGUAGUUUUUUUCAGAGGGGAAAGAGGGGGAAGAAAUAAGAAAAUGAAAGAGAGCUCCAAGAGAUGAUAUUUGGAGUUGCCCAGCUGUGUUUCUAAUGUUGUGUCUCAGAUGCUGGUCAGGUUCCAGAUGCUGAAGUUCCUUCCAACCCUAUCUGGAAGGGAGAAAAGCCACUGUCAAUAAACACAUUUGGGGUACUUUUCUCUUAA